GCCGGGCGCGGUGGCGCGCGCCUGUUAUCCGGCUGCUCGGAGGCUGAGGCUGGUGGAUCGCUUGAGGCCAGGAGUUCUGGGCUGCAGCGGCCUGUGCCGAUCGGGCGUCCGCGCUAAGCUCGGCGUCUAUAUGGUGUCUCGGGGGGAGCCCGGGGGCACCAGGUCACGCUAAGGAGGGGUGAACCGGCCCAGGUCGGGAACGGAGCAGGUCAAAGCCUUCGCGCCGAUCAGUAGCGGGAUCGCGCCUGUGAAUAGACGCUGCACUUCAGCCUCGUCAAUACAGCGAAACACAGUCUUUU
rnacentral:SRP_RNA from 1 species